rnacentral:rRNA from 1 species
GACGAACUCUGGCGGCGUGCCUAAUACAUGCAAGUCGAACGCAUUUUCUUUCACCGUAGCUUGCUACACCGAAAGAAAAUGAGUGGCGAACGGGUGAGUAACACGUGUGUAACCUGCCCAUCAGCGGGGUAUAACACUUGGAAACAGGUGCUAAUACCGCAUAAUUCCAUUUACCGCAUGGUAUAUAGCUGAAAGGCGCUUUUUCGUCACUUAUGGAUUGACCCGCGGUGCAUUAGCUAGUUGGUGGGGUAACGGCCUACCAAGGGUGAGAUGCAUAGCCGAGCUGAGAGGGUGAUCGGCCACACUGGGACUGAGACAAGGCCCAGACUCCUACGGGAGGCAGGAGUAGGGAAUCUUCGGCAAUGGACGGAAGGCUGACCGAGCAACGCCGCGGGAGUGAAGAAGGUUUUCGGAUCGUAAAACUCUGUUGUUAGAGAAGAACAAGGAUGAGAGUGGAAAGUUCAUCCCUUGACGGUAUCUAACCAGAAAGCCACGGCUAACUACGUG